rnacentral:ncRNA from 2 species
CGGGUCCGACAGGGGAGCGCUCCGGCGCUGAGAGUGCGGCCCGCAGCCGCAGACCCUAAGAACCUGCCCCGGUUAGCACCGGCGAAGGAAGUCGACCUUGGCCCUGC